UACGGAGGGUGCAAGCGUUAUCCGGAUUCACUGGGUUUAAAGGGUGCGUAGGUGGGCAGGUAAGUCAGUGGUGAAAUCUCCGAGCUUAACUCGGAAACUGCCGUUGAUACUAUUUGUCUUGAAUAUUGUGGAGGUAAGCGGAAUAUGUCAUGUAGCGGUGAAAUGCUUAGAUAUGACAUAGAGCACCAAUUGCGAAGGCAGCUUACUACACAACGAUUGACGCUGAGGCACGAAAGCGUGGGGAUCAAACAGG
rnacentral:rRNA from 1 species